UCCGGGGGGGGCAAGCGUUGUUCGGAAUUACUGGGCGUAAAGGGCUCGUAGGCGGCCAACUAAGUCGGACGUGAAAUCCCUCGGCUUAACCGGGGAACUGCGUCCGAUACUGGAUGGCUUGAGGUUGGGAGAGGGAUGCGGAAUUCCAGGUGUAGCGGUGAAAUGCGUAGAUAUCUGGAGGAACACCGGUGGCGAAGGCGGCAUCCUGGACCAAUUCUGACGCUGAGUGAGCGAAAGCCAGGGGAGCAAACGGG
rnacentral:rRNA from 1 species